GUGGAGAAUCUGUGUGAAGAUGAAGCUCCUACUCAACAGUCUGCUACUCGCCUCGCUCUGCGCCCUCUCAUCUUGGAGUGUUUCAUCAGACACACUUGUUGUUACCCAGGAUCCUGAUGUCUCUGUCAUGGAGGGGGGGGCAGUAAACAUCACCUGCUGCUGGAAAGGCCAGCAUGUACGAGUGCGAGUAAAAUGGCUGAAGAAUC